rnacentral:misc_RNA from 1 species
GAUGAAGAACGUAGCGAAAUGCGAUAAGUAAUGUGAAUUGCAGAAUUCAGUGAAUCAUCGAAUCUUUGAACGCACAUUGCGCCCGCCAGUAUUCUGGCGGGCAUGCCUGUUCGAGCGUCAUUUCAACCCUCAGGCCCCGCCUGGCGUUGGGGAUCGGCGCGGCCCUCUCCGGGCUGCCGGCCCCGAAAACUAGUGGCGGUCUCGCUGUAGUCCUCCUCUGCGCAGUAGCAACGCUCGCACUGGAACUCGGCGCGGCCACGCCGUAAAACACCCCCCUUCUGAAAGUUGACCUCGGAUCAGGUAGGAAUACCCGCUGAACUUAAGCAUAUCAAUAAGCGGAGGA